UAGCCAUAAUCAGUAUAGCUGGUUUAUUAGCAAACAGAAGCAAAACCAAGGAAGUUUGGGUCAAUGCAUUGAAGUAUAUUUCUGCUGCAGUUGACAAAGAUUCUCACAUUGAUAAAAUGAAAAGAAUUUUUCUGCUUAGUUACUUUGACCUUCCUCUUCAUCUAAAGAGCUGUAUGUUAUAUCUGAGCGUGUUCCCGGAGGAUUAUUUGAUUGAUUGUAGACGGUUGAUAUUGUUAUGGGUAGCCGAAGGACUGAUUCCUGGACAAGGCAGAGAAAAUAUGGAGCAGCUUGGGAGGAGUUAUUUGAAUGAGCUGAUCAAUAGAAGCUUGGUCCAGCCAACCAAGGUUGGGGCAGAUGGCGCAACAGUGAAACAGUGCAGAGUUCAUGAUGUCAUACUUGAGUUUAUUGUUUCAAAGGCUGUGGAGCACAAUUUUGUUACUAUAUGGAAUCGUAAUGGAUUUUCUGAAAAUUAUUCUUCUAACAAGAUUCGCCGUUUAUCUAUCCAACACAACAUUUCUAGGCAGGCUGAAGAGAUGACGAUAAAAGAACAUGCAGCUCAUAUUCGAUCAAUUAAUAUUUUUGACCCUAUGUCAAUGCUGCUAAUUACCUCUAUGUUUUUAAGUAGCCAAGUCUUGCGAGUGCUGAAUACAGAAACUCGGGUGGGUUGCAAUCUUGGACAUGUCAAAAGUUUUGGUCAAAUCAAGUACUUGAGGUUGGGGUUGAGCUUUGGAUUUCGACCAUUAAUAUCAUUUGGCUGCAAACUCCCAAAAGAUAUAGAAAAGCUGCAACAUCUGGAGACACUAGAUGUUACGGUUUGUGCCGGCAUUGAUAUACUACCGGCUAGCAUUACCCAACUGCAUAGAUUAGUGCGUCUUCUUGUCGGUGCUAGGGUAAAACUACCUGAUGGGAUUGGAAAUCUGCAGGCAUUGGAAGAGCUACCAUCGAUUAGUUUGGGUUUUCAAACUAUCAAGUUUAUCCAAGGGCUCGGCGAUCUGACCAAUCUGAAGGUACUUGGAAUUGAUUGGAGGUACGAUCAUUAUUUAUUACGUCACGUGGACGUGGAAGGCCACAAGGAAGCAUGUAUCUCGUCACUCUCCAAGCUUGUCACAACCCUUCGAGAACUGCACGUCGUGCAGGAUGCUCGUGAUGACAGACUUUCAUUCAUGGCUUCGUGUGGCUCUACUCCACCACCCCUUCGGAGGCUCGUCUUUCACGAUAGUUGUGGACCAAGUGUCGUGCCCCAUCAAAUCAUCAGCUCGCUAGUCAACCUGACCCGCCUCAGUAUUGGACUAGUAAGCCAGGAAGGGAUAAAUAUCCUAGCAAGUUUGCCCAUGCUCCUCUCUAUUACUGUUCGCGUUUUGGGUAAUUCUGGAAUCAGGUAUACAAUCAGCAGUCAAGGAUUCCAGUGUUUAGUCAAGUUUAAUUUCGACUGUUAUUAUAUGGGGGCGUUGGAGUUUGAGCCAGGAGCCAUGCCAAAGCUCCAAAGGCUCAAGCUGUACCUGGUGGCAUGGGGUCAGUUCAAUUAUGAGCAAGGCGGCCUCAUCCUUGGGCUGCAGAAUCUGGCAGGCCUCAGACAUGUUGCUCUUUGUAGUAAUUGUAAGUAUGCUACUCCUGACGAGGUGCAGGAUUUGGAGGAUGACAUCAUGGUUGCAGCAGGCGCCCAUCCCAACUGUCCCGUGGUCCAGCAGGUCAAAAAAAUAAAUCAAGAGUGGAUGGCUCAAGGGUGCAGCAGGCGCCCACGCGACUAUCCCAUGCUAGAAGCACAAUGACCAAGUAAAUGCAUGGUGUGGAGAAUAAAUAUCAUUAUCAAUAAUGAUCUUUUUUUUCUGUUUCAAGAGCACGUUGGAAUUAAACAAGGUUAAUUCGAUUUGUUUUCAUCUUAGUUUUUGCUUUAUGACAACAUGUGUGGAGAAUAAAUAUCAUUAUCCACUCUGAAAUGUUUUUACUUGAGUCUAAAUAAUCUCCAUUGAAGAAAUCAGGCACCACAACGAAGUAUCCUGCCUCGCUAACUUUAUCGGCUAUCUGUCUGCAUCAUUAAAAGAUCCACUGGUACCAUCAUUAUUCCACUAAAUCAAGGGCGAUGAACAAUAGCUAGUACAGAAAGGGAUUCUUGCGUCGUUGUACUCCAAACAAAAUGCAAUCUAUCUCAUAUGAGAAUUAACUUUCACUGGAUUGUCUUUUUUUUGGAAAAAAAACUGUACUGUAUUUUACUCUGUACAGAAGCACAAAGCAUUGUUAUGUUUUUUAAAAAAGAUAGUCAAAUAAAAUUUGCUCUAGUUCUUCAAAGUCUCUAAAAUCAUUUGUUGAUAUUUAAAAGCAUUUUGCUAUGGUUAUGAUUGCGUUGCUACUUGCUACAAGCAUCAUAAGGGAGUACUAAGCAGGAAAAAUCGAAAGCAUGCCAGCCGAAUGCUCUAGUUCUUCAAAGUCUCUAAAAUCUGGAGAGAUGCUAGUUGACCAAGAACAGAGCAUCUUGAUCUACGAUAGUAAGCCAGAGUAGAGCAAGAAAGAACACAAAAUUUGGGAAUUAAAAGACCGUAGAUAUAUUUAUGUACCUGAGUAAAGGUGCCUCGAACCCUGAGGAAAUCAAUCAAAAAGUGGAGAAAAAUUUCCUGUCAAAACGUAUGCCCAAAUUGACUAGAAACUGCAAGAGUGUAGUACUACGGUCGAAACACCAACCGAAAACAUCGGAGGCGAGGAUGAAGGCGCGGCUUGAGCUUGCGGCUGAAGGACCGAAAGGGUGACCAGAGGAGGCUAUAAAAAUUCUCAACAAGAACAAGGCCUGUGUUCCAAAUGCAACCCCAAAGCACACAACACGUUGUAUCGUCAAGAUGAUGCAAGUCCACUCGUGACAAGCUGACCCUAGGAACGAUACACGUAUCAAAAGCAAAGCUCAAAGUGAUCCGAAUACAUGCAUGACAUGGUGGAAGCAGAAUAUAAAGUGACUCACAGUCAGAUUCAAGCAAGCCCACGAAAAACUUACUCAACUAAGCAUAAUUAGCAAGAGAUAAAACACAUUAAGUACUCAAGCGAGUGAACAAGUAUUAGUUGGCUAAGUGUUAGGAUUAACAGAGGAUUAGAAAAGCUAAUUUAACACCGAACAACCAUGGAUUAGAACAGUGCUAUCAGCCAUGUGCAAGAACUAAUAAUGAUUACUCAAAUCAUUGAUCACUGUAGCUAGAAAGCAACUCUUCGAUGGUGUUUGGAUCAGUAGUUCAUGAGCUAAAUUUUAGCUCCUAAACUUUAGCCCCUAAAAUUUAGUUCUGCUGGGCUGUUUGAAUUCAUGACUAAAAUGGACUAAAAUCCAUAAAUGUUGUUCAACAAAGAUACUAUUACCCUCCUUCCCUACCCCUCCUCUCCACCAGCAGCAGCACCACCACCACACAACUAGACCACACCCGAGGCCACGAGGGGUGGGCGGGCGGAGGCGGGGUGCCGGCCGAAGGAGGCGGAGCCGGGCGGAGGCGGCGGGGCGGCCGGAGGCGGGGGGCUGAGCGGAGGUGGCUAGGCCGGCCGGAGGCAGCAGGGUCGGGCGGAGGCGGCGGGCCGGCUGGAGGAGGCGGGGCGGCUGAAGGCGGGGGGGGCUGAGUGGAGGCGGCGGCGCCGGCCGGAGGCGGGGCCCGGGCGGAGGUGGCACCACCACCUGCAGAAGCAGCAGCAGCACUGGCGGCGCCGCCGGUGGUGGAGCUCGGCCACCUCCACCGCGCUCCUCCUCUUCGUGUGUCUGGAGGAAGGGAACAGGGAGACCGCGGUGGAAGCCGGCGCGGCGUCAGCGUCCGUGGAGACGGUGGCGGCGUCCGGGCCGGCGCGGCCCACAGCGGAGCGCGCAUUGGCCGCGCUGGAGCUCCUGUGCACGGCCCUCGGCGGCGUCGCGGCGGUGCGGAGGAAGGCACUCGCGGUGCCGGUCUUGGCGCGGGUGGUAGAGGGGAUGUCCGGCCACGGGCAGGAGUGCGGGGCGGGAGAGAGGAAGGGGGGCAACGUGUGGAAAUUGGUGAGGAGGAGCACUUUUAGCCCCUUUUAGGGCCUCUUUGGGGGCUAAAAUUUUUAGCCCAAAGUUUAGCUAUUUGUCACUUUUUGCCCUCCUGUUUGGAUCCCAAGAGCUAAAUUUUGAGCUAAAAGUGCAAGACUAAAAUUUAGUCCUUGGAUCUAAACAGACUAAAAUUUUAACUCGUAGGGAAUGUUUUGCAGGAGAAUGUGCACCUCAACAUGGAAUCUAUGGAUACACUUUUGGCAACAUACCUUCAAACCACAUUCUAUGCAACAAUAAUCUUGUGCAAACCAUAUAUAGCUAUGCCCACCAUUUAUAGAACAAUGUUCAAUAGAUUACCAUAUGCAUAUGAACGUGCACGAUGCACUACGAGAAUGUCCAAGUUUGCCGUGUGUCCACGGCACACGGCUUUUUCCAAAGAAACCUCAGCAAAACCUUUGCUGAGUGGGCGUACACAGUGCCGGUAAAAAUUUCUUUGCCGAGUGUUUUUUAUCGGGCACUCAGCAAAGACUUUGCUAGUGCUAAAACUGACGCUCGGAAAAAAAAGCAACAUGACGGUGUGAAAACGGUCGUGGCACGUUUGCCGAGUGUCUAAUAGCAUGGACACUCUGGCAAAGAAAAGCCUCAACAAACAUGAGUCAUUUUAGACUUUAGGCACAAUUUCCUAAAGAAACACCAGAAAUUUCACAGAAAUUUUCACAUUAGCUGUGUAAAUAAUAGCAAAGUUCUUGCAAGGUGACCAUACUUGCAAGGUAUGCUCGUCUUAAUCUUGGUCUACUUAUUAGUCUACAAUAAGGCUAGUUUCAGUGGGAGUUUCAUAGAGGUUUCAUGCACAUUAAAUACGGUGACACAUCAGCAUAUGUGAUGACAUGGCAUGGUAGUUAUGAAGUGAGAGAGGGAACGAGUUUCAUCAGGAUGAAACUGUGUAUACACUGUUUCCAAGACUAUGAAACCUAUUGAAACUUACAUUGGGGGCUAUAGAGUUUCAUUUCAUGUAACCAUAUCCAAUCACAUGCCUCACAAUUAAAUGUCAUAGGCAUCCUAUGAAAUCGUGAAAUGAAACUGUGCACUGGGACUCCCUGUUUCAUUCAUGAGAAUACACCUCAUGGGAUGAUAUAGCAUUCUUAGAAACAGUGCAAUGAAACCUUGCACUGGGACUGGCCUAACAUUCCUUUCCUUAUCUAGAAGAGACUAUUUGCCCAGCAACUGACCGUUGUAUCUUCCAACUAGCAUUUCGCUUGCGAGUCCAGAUGGUAAAAGUAAAUAAAAAAAUGAAAAUCGGGGUUGGUGGAGAGACAAAGAGAAUAGGAAAGGGAAAGUGCUCAUGGGGGAAGUGGAACGAAGCAUCGUGGGAGGUGAGGCCGUGCUUACAAAGCACUUUCUCGGGUCGUUCGCAUCGCUCACGCGUAAAUGGAAUCCCCAUCUGCGACGGUGAGGCCCUGAGAAUUGAAGCGCCCUUCCUCUCUGACACCACCACAAGUUAGCUAGCAGAGCGGUAGAGCCAGCUUCCCAGUCGAGAUGGCCGAACUGAUGGCGAGCGCCGCCACGAGCGUGAUGGGGUCCGUCAUCGGCAAGCUGACUGCCAUGCUCGGCGAGAAGUACCAGCUCGCCAGAGACGUGGAGCAAGGGAUCCGCUUCCUAAAGGAUGAGCUGAGCACCAUGGAUGUCGUGCUGCAGGAGCUCGCAGACAAGGAAGACGACCAAAUGGAUCCAGUGGCUAAAGAUUGGAGGAACAAGGUGCGUGAGGUAUCCUACGAUAUUGAGGAUUGCAUCGACCGCUUCAUGCUCAAUCACAGCCAUGGAGGUUCCAAGGCUAACUUUGUUCGCGAAGCCAUGCGUAAGGUGAAGAUGUUGUGGAAGGACCAGGGCAUAGCAGAGGAGAUCCAAAAACUCAAGAUACUCGUGACAGACCAGAGUGAGCGGGCCAAACGCUACCGCAUCCAUCACUAUCUCGCCGCCUCACCUCAGCCGGUGCGCUUGGAUCCUCGAGCAACUGCCCUCUUUCAGGAGGCGAGGGAUCCUGUGGGAAUUGAUGGUCCUCGCGAGGAAAUCAUCCAGUUAUUACAAGUUGAAGAAAAUCGACACAAGGUGGUGUCCAUCUAUGGUACCGCUGGGCAGGGGAAGACUACUCUAGCCAUGGAGGUAUACCGAAAAAUCACACAAACACAAGCAUUUGAUUGCAGGGCUUUCGUGUCUGUAUCUCAGACUCUGGAUAUGAAGAAGCUACUCAGAGAUAUAUUGUCUCAAAUAGUAAGCACGAGCGAGUUUGACCAGUUGCAGUCGGAAAGGUGGGAGACGGAGCAGCUCAUGCGCAAAAUGAGAGACUACUUAAUUGACAAGAGGUAACCAGAAUUACUUUCUUGUACUAUAAUAAUUAGCCAGUUCAUCUAGCUAUGGCAAUGUUGUGAGGUCUUUGUCGAUCACAUGAGCGCACCUAAUUUAUCGGCCAUUUUACGAUUGUAUUUUACGGCCACAUAUGCAUUUGUUACAGCUAAAACCAUGACUUCAGCUGUUCAACAUAUCUACCAAAAGCCAUCGCUACAACAAGGUCAAGUCAACUGCUAAUGAAUGUAGGCGUAUGUGGUUGGAGUUGGCCUGUACUGUACUAUAUAAAAUGAUUGUGUGCGAAUGAUAUUUGAGUAGAAAAAUUAUUUACUCUAUACCAUCAAAUAAUUCCAGAUUCAGUAAAAUUAUUUCUUGAUAACUUCAACCAUGUUUUUUUCGUAUAGCCAUUCUAAAUAUCCAUAAAACUCUUCUUUAAAAAUUAAGUUUUCAAACUGAACGCUUCUUGAUUUUCAGUGGGCCUCAUGUGGAGGAAGCUACUAUUUUGGAGGUUGUAGACGUACAGAUUCUUUUCUGAUAAUAGAGGAAGUAGUUUCCAGCCUCUAUUCCUAGCACGUGUAAUACGAACUGACUGCAAAAAUGAGCCACCACUAUCCAUCUCUUUACUUUUCUCCAAUAUCUUUCACCAUGAUAUGCUCUAUAUGUUGAAUAGUUACGGUGGCCUUGUAACAUGAUUCCUCAAACAAUGCAUGCAGGUACUUCAUCUUGAUUGAUGAUAUCUGGAAUGUAUCAGAUUGGGAGCUUGUAGAAGCUGCCUUACCUCGCAAUGACAACGGAAGCAGAAUAAUUACUACAACACGCAGUAAAACAGUAGCCGAAACAUGUGCUGGUAUUGACGCACAAAUGUACAAAGCAAAGCCACUUGGUGAUGACGAAUCUCGCAGAUUAUUCUUUAAAAGGCUAUUUCACUCAACUGAACAUUGUCCCCAAGAUUUGAUGGCAGUAUCCAGUGAUAUUUUGAGGAAAUGUGGGGGAUUACCAUUAGCCAUAAUCAGUAUAGCUGGUUUAUUAGCAAACAGAAGCAAAACCAAGGAAGUCUGGGUCAAUGCAUUGAAGUAUAUUUCUGCUGCAGUUGACAGAGAUUCUCACAUUGAUAAAAUGAAAAGAAUUUUUCUGCUUAGUUACUUUGACCUUCCUCUUUAUCUAAGGAGCUGUAUGUUAUAUCUGAGCGUGUUCCCGGAGGAUUAUUUGAUUGAUUGUAGACGGUUGAUAUUGUUAUGGGUAGCCGAAGGACUGAUUCCUGGACAAGGCAGAGAAAAUAUGGAGCAGCUUGGGAGGAGUUACUUGAAUGAGCUGAUCAAUAGAAGCUUGGUCCAGCCAAUCAAGGUUGGGGCAGAUAGCGCAACAGUGAAAGAGUGCAGAGUUCAUGAUGUCAUACUUGAGUUUAUUGUAUCAAAGGCUGUGGAGGACAAUUUUGUUACUGUAUGGAAUCGUAAUGGAUUUUCUGAAAAUUAUUCUUCUAACAAGAUUCGCCGUUUAUCUAUCCAACAUGACAUUUCUAGGCGGCCUGAAGAGAUGGUGAAGAUAAAAGAACAUGCAGCUCAUAUUCGAUCAAUCAAUAUUUUUGACCCUAAUUCAGUGCUGCUAAUUAAAAACACCUCUAUGUUUUUAAGUAGCCAAGUCUUGCGAGUGCUGAAUACAGAAACUCGGGUGGAGUUACUUGAAGAUUGCUAUCUUGGACAUGUAAAAAGUUUUGGUCAAAUGAAGUACUUGAUGUUAGAAAUUUGGUCAUCAACAUGCCACUGCAAACUCCCAAAAGAUAUAGAAAAGCUGCAACAUCUAGAGACACUAGAUGUUAGGUGGUGUACCGGCAUUGAUAAACUACCGGCUAGCAUUACCCAACUGCAGAGAUUAGUGCGUCUUCUUGUCGGUGCUAAGGUAAAACUACCUGAUGGGAUUGGAAAUCUGCAGGCAUUGGAAGAGCUAUCACUGAUCAGUUUGGGUUUUCAAACUAUCAAGUUUAUCCAAGGGCUCGGCGAUCUGACCAAUCUAAAGGUACUUGGAAUUGAUUGGUGGUACCCUUAUGCAGUCGUAGUACGUCACGUGGACGUGGAAGGCCACAAGGAAGCAUGUAUCUCAUCACUCUCCAAGCUUGUCACAACCCUUCGAGAACUGCACGUCGUGCAGAGUGCUCGUGAUGACAGACUUUCAUUCAUGGCUUCGUGUGGCUCUACUCCACCACCCCUUCGGAGGCUUGUCUUUCACGAACGUCGUGGACCAAGUGUCGUCCCCCAUCAAAUCAUCAGCUCGCUAGUCAACCUGACCCGCCUCAGUAUUGGACUAGUAAGCCAGGAAGGGAUAAAUAUCCUAGCAAGUUUGCCCAUGCUCCUCUCUGUUACUGUUCGCGUUUCGGGUGAUUCUGGAAUCAGGUAUACAAUCAGCAGUCAAGGAUUCCAGUGUUUAGUCAAGUUUAAUUUUGACUGUUUUCAUGGGGGGGCGUUGGAGUUUGAGCCAGGAGCCAUGCCAAAGCUCCAAAGGCUCAUGCUGUGCCUGGAGGCACGGGGUCAGUUCAAUUUUGAGCAAGGCGGCCUCGUCCUUGGGCUGCAGAAUCUGGCAGGCCUCAGAUAUGUUGCUCUUCGUAUUCACUGUUCGCGUGCUACUCCUGACGAGGUGCAGGAUUUGGAGGAUGACAUCAGGGUUGCAGCAGGCGCCCAUCCCAACCGUCCCGUGCUCCAGCUGGUCGCAAAAAUAUAUCAAGAUUAUAUGGCUCAAGGGUGCAGCAGGCGCCCACGCGACCAUCCCAUGCUAGAAGCACAAUGACAAGUAAAGGCAUGGUGUGGAGAAUAAAUAUCAUUAUCAAUGAUGAUCUUUUUUUUCUAUUUCAAGAGCACGUUGGAAUUAAACAAGGUUAAUUCGAUUUGUUUUCAUCUUAGUUUUUACUUUAUGACAACAUGUGUGCGCAUGCAGAUUGGCCUCUCGGAUCUAUGGAGUGCUGAUAUGUGUUGCUUGAUAUGAUGGUGUUGUGUUGAGGUGGGUUUGGGAUGAGUGCUCGGAGCGAAGGCAUUUGCCCUUCGCCGGCCAACGAUGCUGACGCCUGUUGGUGCCACAUCCCUCUCUAUUGACUACUACGGAGUGACUACGUUAAGCUCUUCCUCCAUAUAUGGAUUGUAGGUUGUUAGGUAAUUUUGAGACGUAUGUUGAGUUUAAGAUGUUACUGGAUCUCUUUCUUCUUUCUUUCUUUUAUAUUUCCUUUUGACAAGGUUGUGUGUUGUUGCAUAGGCGGCUGGAAUCUAAGCUUUCUUCAUCCAAAAGAAGAUUAUAUAAAACAACCAGAAAGAAACAAAAGGGGAGCGGUUAAUCUCCUUGGGAUUGGGGGGAUGGGGAUUUUGAUUGGUAGGGGAUGUUUUGAAGGAGGAUGUGCACCUCAACAUAAGUAACAUGGAAUCUGUGGGUACACUUUUGGCAACAUACCUUCAAACCACGUUCUAUGCAACAAUAAUCUUGUGCAAACCAUAUAUAGCUAUGCCCACCAUUUCUAGACCAAUGUUCAAUAGACUACCAUAUGCAUAUGAACGUGCACGAUGGAUAUUAGACACAAAACAUAGUAGUAGUAUAACUUGCACAAAACUACAUUUAUGAUCUUUUGUAUUUGAGCCAGGAAGUUCUUUCAAAAGAUAACCCACAAGAAAGCACGCACUGGUCUUGUUGUGCACUAUACGUUAGGUGUUGCAAUUGCAUAUAAUCUCUUUUAUUUAGUUAGUUUGAACAACCGUGCAUGGCUAGGCACUUCCGAAAGUCUUCACUUCAAGUACUUGUCAAACCAGUCGAUCAUUAGACCAAGAGCUUGCUCAGCAGUUUUGACAGCAAAAGGGUCGGUGGUAUUAUAUCUGCAAGCAAAUCCAUGUGCAACUCCUGGAAAGACCUUGGCGUAGUAGGGAAUCUGCAAACAACCAAUGCCACAAAAAUGAGCUUUUCCAACUGAUAUAUAGUAUCCUCUAUGACGGAAUCACUAGGAACUCACCUCUGUUCUAUGACGCAAUACACUCACAUACUGGUACACUAGUUUUGGCGGUGCGACUUCGUCAUAUUGAGCUCCAAGGAUCUCGAUUGGACAUUUAACCUCUGUUUUGAAUGGUCAUAUAGUUAGCAUACGAAAUUAAGCACUUAAGUUCAGUUCCAAAGACAUCUCAAUCGAUGCUGUCUGGGAGGUUGCAAACACAAAGAAAAGGAGCAAACCUUUCAUGUCAUCAGUAGUCACAAUGUAAGGAUGAGAAAUGGAAACUACUUUAACAUCACUGCUUUUCCCCAUCUCCACACUGAAUUUUAUGCUAGCUGGAAUUUCAAUCACCACCCCAGCAAUAACCUCCCACCCCGAUGGACUUUCCUUCCUUUUUUAAAGCAGCAAAGAGUGGCUUGGCGUCUUUGGCAGCUUUUACCUGCCAGAUCGAUAUAUUUUCAACUCAUGAUGCAAUGAGCAUUAGAUGAAAUUUGAUAGGGACAUGGAACAGACCGGGGAGUGAAGCACUCAUGAUCCACUCUGAAAUGUUUUUACUUGAGUCUAAAUAAUCUCCAUUGAAGAAAUCAGGCACCACAUCAAAGUAUCCAGCCUCGCGAACUUUAUCGGCUAUCUGUCUGCAUCAUUAAAAGAUCAAGAAAGGGAUGAACAAUAGCUAGUACAGAAAGGGAUUCUUGCUUCGUUGUACUCCAAACAAAAUGCAAUCUAUCUCAUAUGAGAAUUAACUUUCACCGGAUUGUCUUUUUUGGAAAAAAAAACUGUACUGUAUUUUACUCUGUACAGAAGCACAAAGCAUUGUUAUUUUUUCAAAAAAAAUAUAGUCAAAUAAAAUUUGCUCUAGUUCUUCAAAAUCUCUAAAAUCAUUUGUUGAUAUUUAAAAGCAUUUUGCUAUGGUUAUGAUUGCGUUGCUACUUGCUACAAACAUCAUAAGGGAGUACUAAGCAGGAAAAAUCGAAAGCAUGCCAGCCGAAUGAUCUAGUUCUUCAAAGUCUCUAAAAUCUGGAGAGAUGCUAGUUGACCAAGAACACAGCAUUUUGAUCUACGAUAGUAAGCCUGAGUAGAGCAAGAAAGAACACAAAAUUUGGGAAUUAAAAGACCGUAGAUAUAUUUAUGUACCUGAGUAAAGGUGCCUCGAACCCUGAGGAAAUCAAUCAAAUAGUGGAGAAAAAUUUCCUAUCAAAACGUACGCCCAAAUUGACUAGAAACUGCAGAAGUGUAGCACUACGGUCGAAACACCAACUGAAAACAUCGGAGCCUAUAAAAAUUCUCAACAAGAACAAGGUCUAUGUCCCAAAUGCAACCCCAAAGCACACAACACGUUGUAUCGUCAAGAUGACGCAAGUCAACUCGUGACAAGCUCACCCUAGGAACGAUACACGUAUCGAAAGCAAAGCUCAAAGUGAUCCGAAUACGUGCAUGACAUGGCGGAAGCAGAACAUAAAGUGACUCACAAUCAGAUUCAAGCAAGCCCACAAAAAACUUACUCAACUAAGCAUAAUUAGCAAGAGAUAAAACACAUUAAGUACUCAAGCAAGUGAACAAGUAUUAGUUGGCUAAGUUUUAGGAUUAACAGAGGAUUAGAAAAGCUAAUUUAACACCGAACAACCAUGGAUUAGAACAGUGCUAUCAGCCAUGUGCAAGAACUAAUAAUGAUUACUCAAAUCAUUGAUCACUGUAGCUAGAAAGCAACUCUUCAUGGCAUGAAGGCACUACCCAGGGCCGGUCUUGAGAUUUGGGAGGCCCGGGACGAAAGUAAAACUCGGACCAUUUAAUAUAAUAUUGAUAUAUAUAUGAAAUAUUACAAAUAAAUACUUAAAUGCAUCUAAAAACAAUAUUCAUAUUGAAUUAGGGGGUGUUUGGGAACACCGUGCUAAAUUUUAACACCUAUCACAUCGGAUGUUUGGAUACUAAUUAGGAGUAUUAAACAUAGUCUAAUUACAAAACUAAUUGCACAGAUGGAGUCUAAUUCACGAGACGAAUCUAUUAAGUCUAAUUAGUCCAUGAUUUGACAAUGUGGUGCUACAUUUGCUAAUGAUGGAUUAAUUAGCCNNNNNNNNNNNNNNNNNNNNNNNNNNNNNNNNNNNNNNNNNNNNNNNNNNNNNNNNNNNNNNNNNNNNNNNNNNNNNNNNNNNNNNNNNNNNNNNNNNNNUCCAUCUGUGCAAUUAGUUUUGUAAUUAGCUCAUGUUUAGUCCUUCUAAUUAGCAUCCGAAUAUCCGAUGUGACCCUGCUAAAGUUUAGCACCUCGUAUCCAAACACCCCCUUACUUAUAUAUAUUACCUUAAAAGUUUCUUCUAACAUUCCUCGAAGCAAAGUCACUUAUGAUAGGGUUGAUGUCAAUCUCAUCCAACAAUUUCUUCUCAAUACAUAAUGUUGCCAAACCAUUUAACCUCUCCUGAGUUAUUGUUGACCUCAAAUAGUUCCUCAAUAACUUCAACUUUGAAAAACUUCUUUGAGCCGAUGCGAUAGUCAGACAUAGUAAAUAAGAGUCGGUAAGCAACUUUCAGCCGAUGCGACAGUCAGACAUAGUAAAUAAGAGUGGGUAAGCAAUGGAGAUAUUAGGAUAACAAUCCACAUCUCUGACAUGCUCAAAAAUCUCCAUAGUAGACAUUACGCCAUCUGGCAAAGUGAAUUUUAUAAUCUUUAAUUCAGAAAUAAGAUCAUAUACCUCAACAUCAUAUGAAACAUCAAAAGACAACAUGAUAUUCCACAGUGCUGAAAUUAUUACAAAUACACAAUAGUUAUAAAUCAGAUGAAAUUAAAUAACUUGUGAUACUAAAUUAAUAAUUAAUGGUAUAGAAAAUUAGGAAAUUGGUAAUCGAGUAGUGUACCUGGUGCCGGCGCAGUUGAAUAGGAACCGUCUAAUCUCAUCCGGCAAAGUUGAAUAGGAACAGUCUAAUCUCAUCCGGCAAAGUCGAACAGUAAAUAGAAUAACACGCGCACGAGACACAACUCUGGAGGGAUCACCGGGCGCAGCCGCACAGCACGGCAGAUGCGGCAGCAGGGCAGCUUUUGGCGGCAGCGCUAGGGCGUACGGUGUGCGAUCUAAUUGUUGAGGCGCCGGCCUUUAGGAAAUACAGGCAUGAUCAUUAGCCUGACACAGGUGGGGCCUGGUAUUUUGUUUCGUUUCUUCCUAUUAGGGCCUCCGAUUGUUUAGGGGUUGUUUGGAUACGAGGUGCUAAACUUUAAAAGUGUCACAUCGGAUGUUUGGAUGCUAAUUAGGAGGACUAAACAUGAGCUAAUUAUAAAACUAAUUGCAGAACCUUAUGCUAAUUCGCGAGACGAAUCUAUUAAGCCUAAUUAAUCCAUCAUUAGCAAAUGAUUACUGUAGCACCACAUUGUCAAAUCAUGACUAUUUAGCUUAAUAGAUUCGUCUUGUGAAUAAAUUCCAUUUUAUGCGUUUAUGUUUUUGAAUUAGUUAUGUUUAGUACUCCUAAAUUAGCAUCCUUACAUCCGUUGUGAUGGGGUUAAAUUUAAUAGGCUUUCCCAACCCCCCCGUUAUUGUUGGUUUUUCACUAUUUUGCUCCGANNNNNNNNNNNNNNNNNNNNNNNNNNNNNNNNNNNNNNNNNNNNNNNNNNNNNNNNNNNNNNNNNNNNNNNNNNNNNNNNNNNNNNNNNNNNNNNNNNNNUUCUGCAAUUAUAUUUAUUGGCCUUCAUUAGUAGGGCAUAUCUAGAUAAGAUCAUAUUUGUUACAUCUGAUGUUAGGAAGCUUUUCUGUUCUAUGCUUUAAUGCAAUAUUAGCCAUGCGCUGUUUGCAGCAAUUCAAUGUUGCAAUGAAAUUUGGACCAUGUAGAUGUUAUCCUUCGUUGAGCUUAAGACAGAUUCAGUGUACAAUUUCACUGCACUAUUACCAAGACUAGAAACUAGGUAACUGUACUUGUUGAGUGUUAUGGGGAUGAAACUCCUCUGACAUAUGAUCUGGUCUGGCCACGACGCAUCAGCUACUCCUGGGUCGAAAGCUCCAGACGACUGCUAGCGAUCAGCACCUGGGGCAGCCUGCCAACUCGCUGGGCUACCAGCCUGCGAAGGCUGCUGGGCCGCUGCUUGCUUCCACCGGCCCGCGUGCCGCUCACUGUGAAUGGCCUGGCAGCAAGUGUAGUGCUGCUCUGUCCCCUGCGCACACGAACAGAAGGAAACGAAGAACAGAGAGAAGAACAGCAAGAACACCCAAGAACACACGUAACUUCGAAUUGUGAGAUCUCCUUCCGCACUCCACGCAUCAAGAUGAAACUUGAACCAAGGAUGCACUACCCCUAGGACAAAUAGAUCCAUGAGACAAAUCACGAAAAUCUCAAGUAUUCAUCGCAAAUCUUAGGGAAAAUCAAAACCCUAACUCAAACUUGGUUUUGGAAGAAACUCAAAAUUCAAGUCGGAUUCGUGAGAUAUUUGGAAGGGGAUCAUAUCAAAGAAGCUCCAACAUUGCCCUUUAACCAAACUCACGAGAUUCGGGCUCCAACAAGAUGAACGAAAAUUCUCAAAAAUGAGUCCGAAAAUAGGAAAAAAGAAAAAUGCUCGGGAACAAAGAUUUUACAUGAUUAACAAACCACACUAAAUCAUGAGAGCAUCUUCUUUACAAAAGAGGGCUAGCCUCCUCCCUUCAUCUACCCACUAAAAGAUGAAGAAAUCAAGAGAAAAGAGUAAUCACUCUCUAAUCUCCCUCUCUCCUCUCACUUUAAGCAUAUGACUAGCCUCUAAGCCAAAAGAUAAUGAGUUGCUAAGCAAAGAGGUGCUGAAUAACCAGCCCCCCAUCCCGACGAAAGACUAUACUACCCCUACAGCUAUAACUAAGAUAACUACCCACGUAGGGGCAUUUUGGUCCAAGUUUUUAUCCGCGCUAAGACUAUACUACCCCUAUAGCUACAACUAAGACUAUAAUGUUUCCUUUUCGCGGUCGAAAAAGAUUAGAUAGAUAUUUUGUACGGUAGUUGCUCAUCACUCCAAUUAUGUACACUUCUUCGCGUGUUAGGUCCCGUUUGGAUACCCUACUAAAGUUUAGCACCUGUCACAUUGGAUGUUUGGAUCCUAAUUAGGAGUAUUAAACAUAGGCUAAUUAUAAAAUUAAUUGCACAGAUGGAGUCUAAUUCACGAGACGAAUCUAUUAAGCCUAAUUAGUUCAUGAUUUGACAAUGUGGUGCUACAGUAACCAUUUGCUAAUGAUGGAUUAAUUAGGCUUAAUAGAUUCGUCUCGCGAAUUAUACUCCAUCUGUGCAAUUAGUUUUGUAAUUAGCUUAUAUUUAAUACUCCUAAUUAGCAUCCAAACAUCCGAUGUGACGGGUGUUAAACUUUAACAGCUGGUUGCCAAACAUGCCCUUAAGAUGGAGUUGUUAUUGGAUAUGCGGAAAAGUAGGGAACCAAGUUGGACAACUGUUGGAGCUUUGGUUUUUCACCUUGGUUACCAAAACUAGUCAAUGAAACCAUAUACCGAGCACUCUUGGAGAUGCUAUAACUGAUGAUCUAGUACAUACUAUAUCUUGAACAUUAUUUUUUUAAAUCUGGUAGCGACUCAAAACCUCUUUUAAUUUUUUCUACUAUCAUAAUCGUUUUAAUCUUGGUGUACUUAAAUGUUUAGACUACUUAUUAGCCUACAAUAACGUUCCUUGUCUAGAAGAGACUAUUUGCCCAGCAACUGACCGUUGUAUUCCCUCAUAGAUAGCCAUAGGGCCACCACCUAAACCAAUUAUUAUUGUCUCGACCACCUAAACCAAUUGUUGUCUCUUGCACUGUAUCUUCCGACUAGCAUUUCGCUUGCGAGCCCAGAUGCUAAAAGUAAAUAAAAAAAAUGAAAAUCGAGGUUGGUGGGGAGACAGAGAAUAGGAAAGGGAAAGUGCUCACGGGGGAAGUGCUCAUGAGACAAAGAGCAUCGUGGGAGGUGAGCCCGUGCUUUACAAAGCACUUUCUCGGGUCGUUCGCAUCUGCGACUGUGAGGCCCUGAGAAUUGAAGCGCCCUUCCUCUCUGACACCACCACAAGCUAGCAGAGCGGUAGAGCCAGCUUCCCAGUCGAGAUGGCCGAACUGAUGGCGAGCGCCGCCACGAGCGUGAUGGGGUCCGUCAUCGGCAAGCUGACUGCCAUGCUCGGCGAGAAGUACCAGUUCGCCGGAGGCGUGGAGAAAGGGAUCCGCUUCCUGAAGGAUGAGCUGAGCACCAUGGAUGCCGUGCUGCAGAAGCUCGCAGACAAGGACGACGACCAAAUGGAUCCAAUGGAUAAAGAUUGGAGGAACAAGGUGCGUGAGCUAUCCUUCGAUAUUGAGGAUUGCGUCGAUCGCUUCAUGCUCAAUCACAGCCACGGAGGUUCCAAGGCUAACGUUGUUCGCAAAGCCGUGCGUAAGGUGAAGAUGUUGUGGAAGGACCAGGGCAUAGCAGAGGAGAUCCAAGAACUCAAGAUACUCGUGACAGAGCAGAGUGAGCGGGCCAAACGCUACCGUGCGCUUGGAUCCUCGCCGCCUCACUAUCUCGCCGCCUCACCUCAGCCGGUGUGCUUGGAUCCUCGAGCAACUGCCCUUUUUCAGGAGGCGAGGGAUCCUGUGGGGAUUGAUGGUCCUCGCGAGGAAAUCAUCCAGUUACUACAAGUUGAAGAAAAUCAACACAAGGUGGUGUCCAUCUAUGGUACCGCUGGGCAGGGGAAGACUACUCUAGCCAUGGAGGUAUACCGAAAAAUCACACAAGCAUUUGAUUGCAGGGCUUUCGUGUCUGUAUCUCAGACUCUGGAUCUGAAGAAGCUACUCAGAGAUAUAUUGUCUCAAAUAGUAAGCACGAGCGAGUUUGACCAGUCGGAAAGGUGGGAGACGGAGCAGCUCGUUCGCAAAAUGAGAGACUACUUAAUUGAUAAGAGGUAACCAGAAUUACUUUCUUGUACUAUAAUAAUUAGCCAGUUCAUCUAGCUAUGGCAAUGUUGUGAGGUCUUUGUGGAUCACAUGAGCUCACCUAAUUUAUCGGCCAUUUUACGGUUGUAUUUUACGGACCCAUUCGAGCAUAAAACUACCACAUAUGCAUUUGUUACAUGAUUCCUCAACCAAUGCAUGCAGGUACUUCAUCUUGAUUGAUGAUAUCUGGCAUGUAUCAGAUUGGGAUCUUGUAGAAGCUGCCUUACCUCGCAAUGACAACGGAAGCAGAAUAAUUACUACAACACGCAGUAAAACAGUAGCCGAAACAUGUGCUGGUAUUGAUGCACAAAUGUACAAAGCAAAGCCACUUGGUGAUGACGAAUCUCGCAGAUUAUUCUUUAAAAGGCUAUUUCACUCAACUGAACAUUGUCCCCAAGAUUUGAUGGCAGUAUCCAGUGAUAUUUUGAGGAAAUGUGGGGGAUUACCAUUAGCCAUAAUCAGUAUAGCUGGUUUAUUAGCAAACAGAAGUAAAACCAAGGAAGUCUGGGUCAAUGCAUUGAAGUAUAUUUCUGCUGCAGUUGACAAAGAUUCUCACAUUGAUAAAAUGAAAAGAAUUUUUCUGCUUAGUUAUUUUGACCUUCCUCUUCAUCUAAAGAGCUGUAUGUUAUAUCUGAGCGUGUUCCUGGAGGAUUAUGUGAUUGAUUGUAGACAGUUGAUAUUGUUAUGGGUAGCCGAAGGACUGAUUCCUGGACAAGGCAGAGAAAAUAUGGAGCAGCUUGGGAGGAGUUACUUG
rnacentral:lncRNA from 1 species